GCUUCCGGAAGGGGCAGUGCCAGAGGAUUCUGGAAAGGCUCUGGUGUUCCCAGAGAUUUGGUGACAACAUCAGGAUACCAAGUGAACUUCUGACGGCAUUUGGGGACAAGGAGAAACACAGGCAUGGCACUCCGAGAACUCUUUUUAGUUCGUAGUCUAUCUCGUCAUUUCUGAGGGCUGUUGAGCCCUCAAACUUUCUCCCUCUGGACCUUUGGAACACAUGAGCCUGGACUUCAUUCAUUUCCCCCAGCUGGGCUGAGAAAAGAGAUGCAUUGAAACUUGUAACAUCUGAAGAUAAGGAAGACUUGGGAAAGUUAGUGGAUGUGUACUGAAGCAUCUAAAUAAAUUUAGUGCUGAAGCAUCUAAAUAAAGAUUGGUUAUUACUGGA